rnacentral:rRNA from 1 species
UACGUAGGUGGCAAGCGUUGUCCGGAUUUACUGGGCGUAAAGGGCGUGCAGGCGGUUUGUUAAGUCUAGGGUGAAAGCUCCCCGGCUCAACUGGGAGAGGUCCUUGGAUACUGGCAGACUUGAGGAGGGUAGAGGAGAGUGGAAUUCCCGGUGUAGUGGUGAUAUGCGUAGAUAUCGGGAGGAACACCAGUGGCGAAGGCGGCUCUCUGGGACGGUACUGACGCUGAGACGCGAAAGCGUGGGGAGCGAACAGG